CUUUCUGUGGGAUGAAGUGCAAACUACAGCAGAGCCGAACUCAACACAAACUGCCUGCUGUCGAGGCGCGGGAGCGUCGCCUAUCUGAAGCGCUUACUCUGUUUCUCUCUCCACAAACGCUGCCUGGUCUGCCGAGUGAUUCCAGCAUCCUUUAUUUUUAUUGCAGAUUCCCGGCACCUGUAUCUUUUUUUUCUGUCUCGUAUUAGAGCGUUGUGGGUUUUUUUUGUGUGUCUGAGAAUGAAGACGUGAGGUGAAAUACAGCCUAGCACAAAGGCCUCCUUCUUUCCCAGGCUCCUUUGCUUUAUCCACCUUAAAUAAACCCAACAUGCCUAGUGUAUUAUCCCGAUUUUCCCUUUUCAUUAUACCUAGAAAUUCCCACUUCCCAUUGCUCGAAGUUCUCAAAUCAUAUCAUCGCCAAGUCAGCAUUUCCUGUUAUUACAAAGAACCUUCUUUACUUCUCAUCCCACAACAGAAGGAGGGGGAUAUGGUGAGCAGAUCAUUCUCCCACUAGGUUCCAUGCCCUUCGCAAAAAGAGGUCCCAUACUUUGCCAUUCAGCCAUUUUCUGGCACCCUGUCACCCUAAUCUCAAAGGUGGCUUAAAUUCUACACCAUUCAUAUUUUCCUAAUCAUCUCAUAACCCCUCAUCUCAAAAAAACAUAACUCAUUCAGGUUCCAUCUGCCUUUGCCUGGCCUCCUUCCCAGGUUACACAGCACUUUGGUCGACUUGGAAAUCGGGCCAAGGAAUGGCAGAUGGAGUUUAACUCAAACAAGUGCAAGUUAAUGAAUUUUGGGGAGGUAAACUGGGACUGUAGAGCGUUUUAUAGAAUUGUAACACCUAAGGAUAUAUGUAUGUAGUUCCCUGAAAAGUGGCAACGCAGGUAGACAAAACAGUAUGGCAUGCUUGCCUUUAUGAGAUGGAACACUGAGUACAAGAUUUGGGACAUUUUGUUACAGUUGUACAGAACGUUGGUGAGGAAAACUGACCUGAGGAACUGAGGAAAACUCCUGAAAACUCUGCUAAGUUCUGGCCACCAUGCUAUAAGAAAGAUGUGAUUAAGCUGGAGAAGGUGGAAAAUAAAAGGUUCACAAAGAUUUCGCCAUGACUGGAGGGCUUGAGUUACGGGGAGAGAUUGGAAAUGCUGGGUCUGUUUUCCCUAGAUUGAAGAUCACUGAGGGGCAGCCUAACAGAGGUUUAUAAGUCUUUAAUAUAGGAGUGCUCGUGAUCGACAGACGACUGGAGAUCGGAGGAUCAGCCGUUGUAGGUAGGCCGAGACCCUCGGACCUACCUGGACAAUAUCUGAGGAGGAAAGUAAAGCGUCAAGCGCGGGUGACAUCAGUGGCGAGCGCGGGCUUUAAAAAGUGGCCCACUUUCAGGAGCGGGCAGUGGAGUGCGCAGGAGCAGAGUGCUGGGCUUUGGCUCAGCGGGCUUCGGCAUAAGAGAACUUCAAUGCUGCCUGGCCUGAUGAAUAUUUCCUGAAGUCUCUGACACCCGUCCAACUAAGUCAGGUGUGAGGGUAGAUCACUCUAAGUGCUGAGUCGAUUUGGAGAGGACGAGAACAGCUUCCUUGGCAGUGAAAUCCUGGUCCGAAGCGUAUCACUGGGUGGCAUGUUCUAGGCCCUGAGCAAUUUGCCACAGCAAGGCUUGGGCCCUAAUGUGAGCUGCAAAACUAUUUGGACAAUCUAAGCGCCAGCCCAGAUAGACUGGAAAGGCUAGGUGUCGAGAGCCAGGUGAGGUUGGAUUGUUCAGGGCACCAAUCUGACUUGGAGAAGUCAAGAAUGGCUUCUUAGGCAGCGAAAACUAGGCCUGGAAUGAUUCAUCGCAGUGGGACCUGUGUUCUAGCAUGAAGUUUGGACAAUUUAAGUGCCAGCCCAGAUAAUCUGGGGGCUCCUCUGUCUGUGAUGCUAAGGCUGUAAGACUACCUUCAGCUGCUGUGCCUCGUGUCUACUUUGCAGUUAUUAUCCCUGCUAAUAUGGUAAACUGAAUUCGGAGGCUUUGGGCCUACUACUCCGAGCUGCUCCAGGGGAUUGCGAUCUAAGAAUUCAAUCUGGUUUGGAAUACUGUUGUUGUUGCUCACGUCUGUUGUUUACAUGAUUUGUUUUGUUCUUUUUCCUCUUUCUCUGUGGGCACUGGGAGUUGGUCUCUGUUUUUAUUCGGGUUCUUUCAGGUUCCUUGCUUUGCAGCUGCCUGUAAGCAAACAAAUCUCAAGGUUGUAUCAUUUGCACAUACUUUGAUA